GUCGUGCGCCGUUGCGCUGCCCUCUUCUAUCCGCCGGCAGGCGCUCCUGCUCAGGGGUCUGACAACACAUUGACACCGACAGUCAGAGCCUUCCGAGAGGGCUUUCACUUUGUCAUAAUCACCCAGCAGCUACAAAGAAGAAAAGGACGCCCAGAGUCUGCAGCAGCCAGGAUCUUUGGCGGCACUGCGACUCCGCACGCAACAAGCGCACAGUGCGCCAAGAUCACGACGACGCACCACUUAAACAUGCUGCCAGUACUGUAGUCCUUCUGGAUGGCGAUGAGAGAGAGGAAGGAGAGAGGGGGGAAAAAAAUCAAAAUUGGAGAAUGUUGAAAUUAACAGCUGAGAAAAGUCCUUGGGCUCCUCAUGGCGGGUCCAGACUCUUGGAGAUGAGGCUCUAAGAGGCCAUGAUGUCAAUGAACUGAUGGAGAGUGGAAGCAGGGUGAGUGUGCGUGUGAAAGUUGUGUGAGUGGAGACAGGAGGCGGGCCUUGAUAGAAGGAGUGAGGAGGAGUUCCAUUCGCAAUGCAACUGCAUCGGGAAAGUCCAUCCUGUCGAAGGCCAGAGGACGGCCGUGCGAGAGGAAUUUCCUCUGGAGGUGGUCGUCUACCAUCUCCUCCACGGCGCUCAAAGAAGUCCCGGCUGGUAUCUCCUCCUCUCCCUCCAGCAGCACGGUGAAGAUGAGGAAGGUCUUCU